CACGUAGGGCGCAAGCGUUGUCCGGAAUUAUUGGGCGUAAAGAGCUCGUAGGCGGUCCGUCACGUCCGCUGUGAAAACCCAGGGCUCAACCCUGGGCUUGCAGUGGAUACGGGCAGACUAGAGGUAGGUAGGGGAGAAUGGAAUUCCCGGUGUAGCGGUGAAAUGCGCAGAUAUCGGGAGGAACACCGGUGGCGAAGGCGGUUCUCUGGGACGGUACUGACGCUGAGACGCGAAAGCGUGGGGGAGCGAACAGG
rnacentral:rRNA from 1 species